UGGUGGAUGCUCCCACAAGCG
rnacentral:misc_RNA from 1 species